GGUACACAGAUGAACAGUAUUGACAAGGUCCCUGCCUUCAAGCAGCUUCCUUCCUAUUCAGAGAAGCAAUAUGGAAAUAAUUUCAGAGAGUGCUGUUGGCAAUAAUAUGGCCUGCAGGGGCUGCUUGGGGACUUUCAAUGGGCAAGUAAGGAAAGUCUCUGGGGAAAGACAUCAGAGCUCCAAGGAUAAGGAGCCAAGACUGGUCUCUGGAUGCUCUGGAGGAGGAAAUUGCCAGGAAGGAGGACCAGGAAAGACAAAGCCCCCGAGGCUGGAACAAGACCACUGUGCGGAGCACUGAGAAGGCAGACAAGUCCUGGCUGGAGGGUUAGCAAGAGGGGAAGAUGCAGAAGAUGCCGCCUGGGAUAUGAAGCAAAAAGUUCUCAUGCCCAUGACCCUGUAAACACAGCAAGGAGUGAUUCUUUCAUCUCUCAAUGUUGGACUUCAAAGUAUUCACAAGCCUCAAAAAUUCGGUGGAAUGUAACAGCAAGGAAGGGCAGGCUGAUGAAAAGAACUUAGACUUAGCAAUUGGCAAGUUUCUCCGAGGAGGUUUAAUAUCUUUUUGCAGGGUCAUUAAAGGAGUCUCACAGCUAAUUCCGUCAUGAAUUCAGUUGUGGAGAAGCAGAGGAAGGAAGCAUGAGAAACAUGUACUCUGUAUUUGUCAAGGCAGGCUAACUGCUACUAAAAAACUGUCAGUGGCAUAACACAAUAAAUGUUUGUUUAUUGUCUGUCUACAGUUCCACUUAGGUGCUUGUGGUCAGAUGACCCAUCAUUUCUGCCAAGUGGUGAUUCAGAGACCCAGGCUCCUUCCAUUUAGUGGCUUCACAAUCCCUUGGGGCCUCCUCAGGGUCCCCUCCAUUGGAUCCUCUACAUCUGGCUAACAGAUGAGAGGCAAGCAUGGAGGAUCAUGCAUGGGAGGGUUUUAAGGCCAAG